AACGAACGCUGGCGGCGUGCUUAACACAUGCAAGUCGAACGCGAAAGGGGCUUCGGUCCUGAGUAAAGUGGCGCACGGGUGAGUAACGCGUGGAUAAUCUACCCGAUGGACCGGGAUAACAUUUCGAAAGGGGUGCUAAUACCGGAUAAGACCACGGGCUCUUCGGGGUCUGUGGUAAAAGGUGGGGACCUUCGGGCCUACCGUCAAUGGAUGAGUCCGCGUACCAUUAGCUAGUUGGUGGGGUAAGAGCCUACCAAGGCGACGAUGGUUAGCUGGUCUGAGAGGAUGAUCAGCCACACUGGAACUGAGACACGGUCCAGACUCCUACGGGAGGCAGCAGUGGGGAAUUUUGCGCAAUGGGGGAAACCCUGACGCAGCAACGCCGCGUGAGUGAUGAAGGCCUUCGGGUCGUAAAGCUCUGUCAGAGGGGAAGAAAUGCAGGGGCGCUAAUAUCGCUUAUGCUUGACGGUACCCUCAAAGGAAGCACCGGCUAACUCCGUG
rnacentral:rRNA from 1 species